rnacentral:rRNA from 1 species
UACGGAGGGAGCUAGCGUUGUUCGGAAUUACUGGGCGUAAAGCGCGCGUAGGCGGCUUUGUAAGUUAGAGGUGAAAGCCCGGGGCUCAACUCCGGAACUGCCUUUAAGACUGCAUCGCUUGAAUCCAGGAGAGGUGAGUGGAAUUCCGAGUGUAGAGGUGAAAUUCGUAGAUAUUGGGAAGAACACCGGUGGCGAAGGCGGCCAUCUGGACCGCAACUGACGCUGAGGCGCGAAAGCGUGGGGAGCAAACAGG